UGGGGAAUAUUGGACAAUGGGCGAAAGCCUGAUCCAGCCAUGCCGCGCGUGUGAAGAAGGUCUUCGGAUUGUAAAGCACUUUAAGUUGGGAGGAAGGGCAGUAAGCGAAUACCUUGCUGUUUUGACGUUACCGACAGAAUAAGCACCGGCUAACUCUGUGCCAGCAGCCGCGGUAAUACAGAGGGUGCAAGCGUUAAUCGGAAUUACUGGGCGUAAAGCGCGCGUAGGUGGUUCGUUAAGUUGAAUGUGAAAGCCCCGGGCUCAACCUGGGAACUGCAUCCAAAACUGGCGAGCUAGAGUAGGGCAGAGGGUGGUGGAAUUUCCUGUGUAGCGGUGAAAUGCGUAGAUAUAGGAAGGAACACCAGUGGCGAAGGCGACCACCUGGGCUCAUACUGACACUGAGGUGCGAAAGCGUGGGGAGCAAACAGG
rnacentral:rRNA from 1 species